rnacentral:rRNA from 1 species
AAUAGAUACCCAGGUAGUCCACGCCGUAAACGAUGAGUGCUAAGUGUUAGGGGGUUUCCGCCCCUUAGUGCUGCAGCUAACGCAUUAAGCACUCCGCCUGGGGAGUACGGUCGCAAGACUGAAACUCAAAGGAAUUGACGGGGGCCCGCACAAGCGGUGGAGCAUGUGGUUUAAUUCGAAGCAACGCGAAGAACCUUACCAGCUCUUGACAUCCUCUGACAAUCCUAGAGAUAGGACGUCCCCUUCGGGGGCAGAGUGACAGGUGGUGCAUGGUUGUCGUCAGCUCGUGUCGUGAGAUGUUGGGUUAAGUCCCGCAACGAGCGCAACCCUUGAUCUUAGUUGCCAGCAUUCAGUUGGGCACUCUAAGGUGACUGCCGGUGACAAACCGGAGGAAGGUGGGGAUGACGUCAAAUCAUCAUGCCCCUUAUGACCUGGGCUACACACGUGCUACAAUGGACAGAACAAAGGGCAGCGAAACCGCGAGGUUAAGCCAAUCCCACAAAUCUGUUCUCAGUUCGGAUCGC